rnacentral:rRNA from 1 species
CGUACACUCCUGCGGGAGGCAGCAGUAGGGAAUCUUCCACAAUGGGUGCAAACCUGAUGGAGCAAUGCCGCGUGAGUGAAGAAGGUCUUCGGAUCGUAAAGCUCUGUUGUUAGAGAAGAACACGUGCUAGGUAACUACUAGCGCCUUGACGGUAUCUAACCAGAAAGUCACGGCUAACUACGUGCCAGCAGCCGCGGUAAUACGUAGGUGACAAGCGUUGUCCGGAUUUAUUGGGCGUAAAGGGAGCGCAGGCGGUCUGUUUAGUCUAAUGUGAAAGCCCACGGCUUAACCGUGGAACGGCAUUGGAAACUGACAGACUUGAAUGUAGAAGAGGAAAAUGGAAUUCCAAGUGUAGUGGUGGAAUGCGUAGAUAUUUGGAGGAACACCAGUGGCGAAGGCGAUUUUCUGGUCUAACAUUGACGCUGAGGCUCGAAAGCGUGGGGAGCGAACAGGAUUAGAAACCUUUGUAGUCCCAUG